GAUGAACGCUGACAGAAUGCUUAACACAUGCAAGUCGACUCGAGUCUUCGGACUUGGGUGGCGCACGGGUGAGUAACGCGUAAAGAACUUGCCUCUUAGACCGGGACAACAUCUGGAAACGGAUGCUAAUACCGGAUAUUAUGGUUUUUUCGCAUGGAGGAAUCAUGAAAGCUAGAUGCGCUAAGAGAGAGCUUUGCGUCCCAUUAGCUAGUUGGUGAGGUAACGGCCCACCAAGGCAAUGAUGGGUAGCCGGCCUGAGAGGGUGAACGGCCACAAGGGGACUGAGACACGGCCCUUACUCCUACGGGAGGCAGCAGUGGGGAAUAUUGGACAAUGGACCACAAGUCUGAUCCAGCAAUUCUGUGUGCACGAUGACGUUUUUCGGAAUGUAAAGUGCUUUCAGUCGGGAAGAAGUCAGUGACGGUACCGACAGAAGAAGCGACGGCUAAAUACGUGCCAGCAGCCGCGGUAAUACGUAUGUCGCAAGCGUUAUCCGGAUUUAUUGGGCGUAAAGCGCGUCUAGGCGGCAAGGAAAGUCUGAUGUGAAAAUGCGGAGCUCAACUCCGUAUGGCGUUGGAAACUGCCUUACUAGAGUACUGGAGAGGUAGGCGGAACUACAAGUGUAGAGGUGAAAUUCGUAGAUAUUUGUAGGAAUGCCGAUGGGGAAGCCAGCCUACUGGACAGAUACUGACGCUAAAGCGCGAAAGCGUGGGUAGCAAACAGG
rnacentral:rRNA from 1 species